ACGACCCCGGAGACGGUGCACGUCGAUAAACGAAUGUGCGAGUUCAAUAUGACAAAAUGACUCUCGGCAACGGAUAUCUCGGCUCUCGCAUCGAUGAAGAACGUAGCAAAAUGCGAUACGUGGUGUGAAUUGCAGAAUUCCGUGAACCAUCGAGUUUUUGAACGCAAGUUGCGCCCAACGUCAUUCGGCCGAGGGCACGUCUGCCUGGGCGUCACGCA
rnacentral:rRNA from 1 species